rnacentral:misc_RNA from 1 species
CAGGGUCUGACGACUACCCAAACCAAACCGUGAACUGUUUUUCCACUCAAAAAUGCUUUGGCAGGCCGCUCGCUGGGGGAGCCUUGGACCGCCGUGAGGUGGUUGGGCUGCCGAAAGCAUGUAAACCAAAAAUCACUGAAUAACUUUCUGAGAAAAUAUUACCUCCCUCGGGAGAAAAAAAUAUCA